rnacentral:rRNA from 1 species
AUGUCUCGCCUCCGCCUCCUCCGCCGCAGCUCCUCCUCCACCACACUGAUACCCCGCCUCCGGCUCCUCCGCCGCUGCUCCACCUCCACCUCCACCUCACCGCCCUCAGGCCCCUGGUCUCCCCGAGACGCUUUUGUCGCCGCCAUAGAGCGUGUUCGCGCCGGGACGCUCAGCCCGGAAGACGCUCACCACCUGUUCGACGAUUUGCUCGGUCAAGCCACCCCGGUCCCCGAUCGCACCAUGAACGGCGUCCUCGCCCGUGCCACGUCCCCCGCCGCCUGCAUCAGAGAUGGCCCCGCCCUUGCCGUCGCUCUCUUCAACCGUGUGUGCCGAGAAGAGGCCGGUCCGCAUGUGGCGGCGCCCACAGUCCACACCUAUGGCAUCCUCAUGGACUGCUGCUGCCGCGCACGUCGCCCGGACCUAGGGCUUGCCUUAUUCGGCCGCUUCCUCAGGACAGGCCUGAAGGCAAACGAGAUCGUCGCCACCACCUUCCUCAAGUGCCUCUGCUGCGCGAAACGGACAGAAGAGGCUGUGAAAGUACUGCUUCACAGGAUGCCCGAGCUGGGCUGUGUGCCUAAUGCCAUCUCGUACUCCAUAGUUUUGAAAAGCUUGUGUGAAAAUAGCAUGAGUCAGCAGGCACUCGACCUGCUCCAGAUGGCGACAAAAGAAGGAGGCUGCCUUCCUGAUGUGGUGGCAUAUAGCGCAAUCAUCCAUGGCUUCUUUAAGGAGGGCGAAAUAGACAAGGCAUGCCAUCUAUUCCAUGAAAUGAUGCGGCAAGGGGUUGUGCCGACUGUGGUGACAUACAACAUAAUAAUUGAUGCGUUGUGCAAGGCCGGAGAAAUGGACAAGGCAGAGCUAGUCUUUCAGCGGAUGGCUCGUAAUGGUGCGCGGCCUAAUAAAGCGACAUGUAAUGGCAGUAAAUUUAGUUCACUGACUGACGGAUAUUGCUCAGUCGCCAAGAUGGAUAAAACAUUCAAACUGCUUGAUGCCAUGAUAUCAGUUGGAAUUGAGCCUGAUGCUGUUACUUAUAGUGCACUUCUUGAUGGCUAUUUUAAAAAUGGAAGGAUCGAUGAUGGUUUGACCCUAUUUAGAGAAAUGUCGUUCAGAGAAGAGAAGAAGCUAAAGAUAUGCGAGCUCAUGCCAGAGUCUCCUGUAUUCUAUCCUGUCAGUUCCAUUGGUGGAGCUUGUUACAUACAGGUAAAGGUAUGGCCAAGAAUUCACCGGUGUGUGCUUCUGAUUCAAUCUGCAGGAUGCCAACACCACCUCGGGUCCUGCACUUUCAUAGGGAUGAGGCGCCACUGCCAGCCUUGCAUUGAUGCGCUGUACUUACUUCCCCUCUUCAUGUACGCGCUCACAGCAAGUUCUACCUCCAGGUCCCCCACCAUACCCACCCUUCUUCAGGCCCUUCCUUUUCUUUGGAUCUCAGUUUUUCUUUUUAACCUUGUGCUAUCGGAAAAUAGUUGGAGGCGAACCGUUCUUAUGUUCUUGCCCAAUCUUGGAUGA